UGAUGGUAUUUGGUAUAUUCCUGCUCUUGUCUCUCUUAAUAGGAGAAUAUGUUGGGAAUACCAUCACACCCUCACAUUCCUCAGUGGUCAUCAGUGAGGGAGAAAGUGCCACGUUCUCCUGUAACUACAGCAGUAGUGAUGUCAAUAGUUUGCAGUGGUAUCGGCAGUAUCCCAACUCCAUCCCAGAGUUUCUCUACUACAUAUUUGAGGGUGGUUCCAUUUCAGACCCACUUCCCCGCCUGACUCCCUCCAUAGAUAAAGAGAACAAGCGUGUGUUUCUGGAGCUCUCCUCUGCAGAGGCGCCUGACUCUGCUGUGUUCUACUGCGCCCUGGUGCCCACAGUGACAGGAACUCAGACUCUGCUGUGCAAAAACCUCUCAGAUGGAGGAGGGAGAUGCAACUGUCCCCUUCACAGACAGCACAUUCAUUUAUACACUCUGACUAUUAAUCCAGUAUGCUGA